rnacentral:sRNA from 1 species
GCCACAUGGCUCUGCCUGAGCCCAUCCGGCAGCCUUCCUUGGCAGGGACGGAAGGGGUGAUCUAGAAGGGGUGAUCCCUCCAUGAAGCAUGGAAGGGAACAGGGCCAGGUCUGUGUCUGGCGCUCACCCCAUCCCUCCACUCCCUGGCUUCCUCUGGCCUGGGGAGUUUUGUUUUUCACCCUCCAGAUGGGGAGGACAUGGGCCACACCCUGGCCUGUCUCUCAGGCUUGUGUGGGUGGAGGCUGGGAAGGGAGUUGGACUAAACUUCGCUGUUGCCCGAGGCCAUGGCCACUUCCCGGCAGGUUGCCAGCGUCGCUACAGCCCAGACCAAGGCAGAAUAAUCUCCGGAUGAGCUGGUGGCACCGCUGAGCCUUUGGUCUCACCAGGGCUUCCUGUUGCUGGCAGGCGGGGUGGAGCGGGGCUGCUGGGAGGCUGCUGGAUAGGAGAGGGGUCACGGCUGCGGAAGAGGAGGUUCUUCAGGACGCUCGUGGAUGGACACGGCAAGGAAAGAGCAAGGCUCAGGAUGAUUUAUCCUCUUUUCACUGAUGAGGAAUCUGAGGCCCAGAGAACAGUCAUGAAGUGUGAUCAGACCCUGAGGUCUCCAAAAAGAUAAUGUCCUUGCGAACUCCAGGGAUUCUGGCAUCUUGCUGUACCCACCCCAGCCCACACGGCAGGAUCCUAUCCAAGUCCCUUAUCCACCCGGACACUCACUCUAUAGCUUUUACACCCUCAAGGCUGAGACCCUAAGGACACGCCCUGGAUCCAAGGAGUCCCUGGCCCCUCUGCUAAUAUGCGCCACCUGGACUCCCAGAGGGAAAGCCGGUCAGCACCCCACAUGCAUUAGCACCAUGGGCCACCCCCAAGCCCUACCCCAGGAGAAGCUCAUGGUGGCAAAA